rnacentral:rRNA from 1 species
UACGAACUGUGCGAACGUUAUUCGGAAUCACUGGGCUUACAGGGUGCGUAGGCGGCUUAGCAAGUCAGGUGUGAAAAGCCCCCCGGCUCAACCGGGGAACUGCGCUUGAAACUGCUGAGCUCGAGUCAGCUAGAGGUACACGGAACUUCCAGUGGAGCGGUGAAAUGUGUUGAUAUUGGAAGGAACACCGGAGGCGAAAGCGGUGUACUGGGGCUGGUCUGACGCUGAGGCACGAAAGCCAGGGGAGCGA